AGAGUUUGAUCCUGGCUCAGGAUGAACGCUGGCGGCGUGCUUAACACAUGCAAGUCGAACGAGCCUUCGGGCUAGUGGCGGACGGGUGAGUAACGCGUGAGAAUCUGCCCUCAGGAGGGGGAUAACGGCUGGAAACGGCCGCUAAUACCCCAUAUGCCGCGAGGUGAAAUGAGAAAUCGCCUGAGGAUGAGCUCGCGUCUGAUUAGCUAGUUGGUGGGGUAAGAGCCUACCAAGGCAUCGAUCAGUAGCUGGUCUGAGAGGAUGAUCAGCCACACUGGGACUGAGACACGGCCCAGACUCCUACGGGAGGCAGCAGUGGGGAAUUUUCCGCAAUGGGCGCAAGCCUGACGGAGCAACGCCGCGUGAGGGAUGAAGGCCUCUGGGCUGUAAACCUCUUUUCUCAAGGAAGAAGAACUGACGGUACUUGAGGAAUAAGCCACGGCUAAUUCCGUGCCAGCAGCCGCGGUAAUACGGGAGUGGCAAGCGUUAUCCGGAAUUAUUUGGCGUAAAGCGUCCGCAGGCGGUCUUGAAAGUCUGUUGUUAAAGCGUGGAGCUCAACUCCAUUUCAGCAAUGGAAACUAGAAGACUAGAGUGUGGUAGGGGCAGAGGGAAUACCCGGUGUAGCGGUGAAAUGCGUAGAUAUCGGGAAGAACACCAGUGGCGAAGGCGCUCUGCUGGGCCAUAACUGACGCUCAUGGACGAAAGCCAGGGGAGCGAAAGGGAUUAGAUACCCCUGUAGUCCUGGCCGUAAACGAUGAACACUAGGUGUCGGGGGAAUCGACCCCCUCGGUGUCGUAGCCAACGCGUUAAGUGUUCCGCCUGGGGAGUACGCACGCAAGUGUGAAACUCAAAGGAAUUGACGGGGGCCCGCACAAGCGGUGGAGUAUGUGGUUUAAUUCGAUGCAACGCGAAGAACCUUACCAGGGUUUGACAUCCUGCGAAUCUUUUGGAAACAGAAGAGUGCCUUCGGGAGCGCAGAGACAGGUGGUGCAUGGCUGUCGUCAGCUCGUGUCGUGAGAUGUUGGGUUAAGUCCCGCAACGAGCGCAACCCACGUCUUUAGUUGCCAGCAUUAAGUUGGGCACUCUAGAGAGACCGCCGGUGAUAAACCGGAGGAAGGUGUGGAUGACGUCAAGUCAUCAUGCCCCUUACAUCCUGGGCUACACACGUACUACAAUGCUACGGACAGAGGGCAGCAAACUCGCGAGAGCUAGCAAAUCCCAUAAACCGUGGCUCAGUUCAGAUUGUAGGCUGCAACUCGCCUACGUGAAGGAGGAAUCGCUAGUAAUCGCAGGUCAGCAUACUGCGGUGAAUACGUUCCCGGGCCUUGUACACACCGCCCGUCACACCAUGGAAGUUGGCCAUGCCCGAAGUCGUUACUCCAACCCUUGUGGAGGAGGACGCCGAGGGUGGGGCUGAUGACUGGGGUGAAGUCGUAACAAGGUA
rnacentral:rRNA from 1 species